UCGGGGGGAGUGCUUGGAUCGUGUUUAUUCUUUGCUUUUCCGUUGGCUGGCCCCGCAGCCUGGUGGUGUGGCCAGAGGCCGUCCUGCCGCUUGCGGAGCAGCUUUGCCACCUGAUCCACGUGCCAUUUGUUGCUUUGGGGAUUGUGCGGCUUCCUUUCACUUGCCAUUCGGAGAAUGGUUUGUCUUCCUUUAAAGAAUAUUAAAAUGGUCAGGCGAGCAGCCUGCUUUUGAUACAGGCACAGGGGAGUUAUGUCUAAUAUCAUUGCUCCUCUCUUCCUACAGUGCAGUGACCCGCGGGUGCGACAGGUCUCUGGGGGAAUCGUGCCAAAUUCAGGCUGUGGCAUCGCUGGUGGGAGAGGACGUUCCUCCGGGAACGUUACGCAAAGGGCUGCUCGUUGAAGGUGCUCUUGCAACAAGUAUUUCGAAAGCAGCAUUCCUGAACACACAUGGAAGCAGUUAAAUCUGGAAAAAUUUUUCAGGUUGUUGUCGUUUGCCCUUCCCGCUGAAGCAGUGAUCGUGUGCUUGGCAGGGCAGCACGGACACGGAGGGGUUACCACGUUCGGCCCUGGCGGUUUGCUGAUGCAGCCUUCUCUUCACACGGGAACGCGUUUGGCUUAAGUAAAUGCGGUGCCGUUGAAAAGCGCUGACUUGGAGGAAUAACCCCAGACGGGCGUCACGGGCCGGCAGCGCCGCUUCUCCCAGCCCGUGCAUCGGCACCGGCUCAGAACGGCUGCGCCCGAGGGCGAGCGAUCGAUGCUCCGACGCUGCCGGGAGCGGCGGCGGCAGCACUGGGGGGGCACCGCGCCCCCGAGCACGGGCGCUGAGCCGCCCCCGGCUACGCGCUUGUCACCGAAACGGUCGUUGGGCCAUAGAGAAAUGAAAAUGCGAGUAAGCAAACUUGCUAAUUACUAUUGUCCACAAGAAGUGGCGCUGUAGUGUUAAGACCACAUACCCUAGUCAGGUGAGUGAAUAUUUUCAAAAUAAAUACAAUAAUAAUAGUAAUAAUAAUAAUACCAUAAGGCUGCUGUUGGCCCCUGAUAAAUAUAUUAUUAUUUUCCUUUUUUUCCCCCCCUUCUUUUGAGCUUUGUAACGCAUUUUUUCCAUGCUGAGGUUUCUCCUCGGCCACGCGCCAUUCUGUCCCGCUGAAGAUGCUCGUCCGAGACAACACUUCGCUGUCUCUCCUCAGAACUUGACUAUAAAUAGGCUUUUUCCAACCACUCCUAAGGAGAUCCAAGCCUACUGGCAGUAGGAAACUAUCUGGGCAAGAAUCAAACAGAAAAAGUCUUGGUCGUGCAUGGGAUGAAGGGGAGUGACCUUUUCUGCUGGAAACAAGUAGUGGUUGACAGCCCAAGAGCUUCAGAACUUUGUUUUAUUUACCCCUUCAUUGGGUUUUUUUCCUUUUUUUGCAAUUUUUGGUGGCACCUCUGGGUUGCCGUGGUAAGGACACUCCCGCCACACUCGCAUUAAUGCGUUUCACAGCCCUAAUGCUCGCGAGUGGGCCCUGGGGAGCCAUCUCGGGGGCUGGUGACGCUCUUCUCCGCCGAAGGUACCGUGCAGCUCUGGCGUCGGUGGCGUGAUGAGAAAGCCAGCGGUGGGUCUGUGUUUUGGGUCGUGUGGUUGUGAUAGGAACAUGGCUGCACGUUCUGCUCCGUCCGUUUGAUGUAACUUACUGAAAUUUUGGGAAAAAUACUAUCUUUGAGUUUAUCUACGUGAUGUGAAACCCUUAGGGCUACCUUUGUCCCCAAGAAUCACCACCACUGGCCUGCUCUUGAUAACUUACCCAAUACUUUAAGACUGGUUCCAUCACUCAGCUCUAUUCACAGAAAAUACUUGUAGCCAGUUGUUCUUUUGCCACCGGACCCCCUGUUUUUGGGGCACCUUGUCCUAAUGGGCUGUCGCGUUGCUGCGGGGCCACGUGCUGUUCCAGCGUGCUGAUCACCUGAAUGCGUUUGUAUCACUCCCCUUCCAGGCACUACUGCAGGGCGCGAUCUUUGCAUCUAAGAAGCUGCAUUGCUAAACCUGCCAGCGCUGCCUGGGCCCAGGCAAGCUCCGUCUCACCUGACGGCGGCUCGGCCGGCCCCGCUCCUCUAUCGGUGUCAGCAUCCUGCAGUGAUACGGGUGAGGAGCCUCAUUUCAGGGUAGACUGAGCUUGUAGGGGUUUGUAGCUCAUGUCUAUGUUUCAGACUGCAAAUUUCCCUCCCAGACACUGGAAUUUGAGCUCUAUGUGCAUGAGGAGCCUCUCCCCCGUGUACUGCUCUUCCUCAAAAUAGGACUUUGUGGAACAAAUUACAAUGCAGAAAGCUGCAUGGAAGCACCACCAAAGGUGGUGUGACCAGUCAGGGAGUGAUGCUGUGAAGAGCGACGUGUUGUGUCCUGCUGCUUCCACUAAAAAAAAGAAGCCCCUUAGUACCUAUAAAGCCUUGUAUAGAUCCAAAAUUGCUCAGAUGCUACUUCUUGCCUCUAACGGGUGCCUGAGUGUGGAAUCAUGGAAUCAUAGAAUCAUUAAGGUAGGAAAAGACCUGUAAGAUCAUCAAGUCCAACCACCAGCCCAACACUCCCAGGCCUCCUAAACCAUGCCCUGAAGUGCCACGUCUACAUGGCUUUUGAACACCCCCAGGGAUGGUGGCUCCACCACCUCUCUGGGCAGCCUGUGCCAAUGCCUGACCACUCUUGCAGUGAAGAUGUUUUUCCUAAUAUCCCAUGUAAACCUCCCCUGAUGCAGCUUGAGGCCGUUUCGUCUCGCCUUAUUAUUAGUAACUUGGGAGAAGAGACCAACCCCCACCUCACCACAACCUCCCUUCGGGCAGUUGCAGAGAGCGAUGAGGGCUCCCCUCAGCCUCCUCUUCUCCAGGCUAACCCCGCCCCCCAGCUCCCUCAGCUGCCCCCCAGCACACUUGUUCUCCAGACCCUGCCCCAGCUCCGUUGCCCUUCUCUGGACGCGCUCCAGCACCUCGAUGUCAGCCAAGAUGUCUACACAGUGUGCGAGGCAUCAAAGUCCUGCUACAGCUGGUGGAGAUCGGAGCAGUGAAGCCUCAGCAGCUACGAGGUGUCUCCUUCAGGGUGAGUUCAGCCACUGCCGAGGCGCAACGGGUGAGAUCUCCCUUGUGGCCGUGGGAGCUGGGCGUCCUGUGUGUGCAUAGCCACGGAAAUUCAGGUGCCUUUGUCUGGAGCUGAACGCUGCAGGUGCCUGAGGUGUUACCCAGGGUGUCUGUGUGGGACUGGCAGGUGGGACUGGCAGGGGUCUGGGGUAGAUCUGCCGUCCUCCUCCAGUGGUUGCAGAGGCUCAGACAGGGUAUGCAAGGGUGUGAAACAUCUCUAAAUCAUGUGAGCAAACAAACAGGGUUGCUCUGACUGCAGUCAGCCUGCUGCGGGAGAACAAACACUGAAAGAGUGUUAGUGAGAGACUUAAUUGGGGUGGCAUUAGCCAUUAGUCAGCUCUGCCUCCCCUGCAACCAAGGAAAGCCCAUGUAAAUACAGGAGUUGGGGAUACCCAAGAGGCCUGCUCAGGACUGCCGUUUUCCACUUGCUGCUCCUACCUUCUAGGGCUUGUAGCCACCAAUCAGCCCCUUAAAAGCCUCUUCUCUGUAAUUUGGUUAAAUCAAAUUUUUAAAGCCCCAUUUUGGAGAUAGAUAUUAUUUUCUGAGCCAUCGGCUUACUUCUUGGGUAGCUCCUGGGUGAAAACAGCCAUGCCGUGAAGAAGCAGCGACUGCCCAACUGCGACCACCUCUCCUGAGCCAGAGGGUGCCCCAAGGGAGCUGGUUUCGGAAACCCUUCCCCACCAGCGGGGCCAGGACGUCACACGCGGACACACUGCACCUGCCUGGCCUGGGGACGUCCUUGCAGGGGAAAGGACUGCUGGAAGCCCCCGCCAGCUGUUGAGGGAAGCCCACAUGUGCUCUACAAGGGAGAGCUGUUCCUGGCCGCAGAGCUACCCUGCAUCUCAGUGUCACUGCCCAGCUGAGCCGGCUGUCCUUGCUGUGCCAGUAUCCAGUUUUUGAAAUUAUAUAUAUUAUAUAUAUGUAUAUGGACACACCUUUCUCUCUCUCGUAUAUCUGUUCAUAGUAAGCUAAAGAUCAGAUGUUCUCUCCUGGGAAGCAAGACUUGAAUGCUUCAGGCUUUCAUAACCCACCUGAAGAGAUGUUCAGGGUCUCUGUUGUAUUAAUCCAGUAAACGGUUAUUAAAUUGGUAUA